rnacentral:rRNA from 1 species
UGCCAGCCGCCGCGGCAAUACGAACUGCGCGAACGUUAUUCGGAAUCACUGGGCUUAAAGGGUGCGUAGGCGGCCUGUUAAGUAGGGUGUGAAAUUUGUCGGCUCAACCGGCAAACUGCAUUCUAAACUGGCAGGCUUGAGUGAGUCAGGGGUGUGCGGAACUUCCGGUGGAGCGGUGAAAUGCGUUGAUAUCGGAAGGAACGCCGGUGGCGAAAGCGGCACACUGGGGCUUUUCUGACGCUGAGGCACGAAAGCCAGGGGAGCGAACAGGAUUAGAUACCCUGGUAGUCCUGGCUGUAAACGAUGAAUACUGGGUUGGGGGAGCAUGUCUCUCCCAGCCGUAGCGAAAGCGUUAAGUAUUCCGCCUGGGGAGUAUGGUCGCAAGGCUGAAACUCAAAGGAAUUGACGGGGGCUCACACAAGCGGUGGAGGAUGUGGCUUAAUUCGAGGCAACGCGAAGAACCUUAUCCCGGACUUGACAUCUAUGGAUUAGCAUUGUGAAAAGCAGUGUGACGCCUUUCGGUGGAACAUAAGACAGGUGCUGCAUGGCUUGUCGUCAGCU